AACUAACAUAAUAAUCAUGCGUUUUUUUUUGAUAAAAAAAUCAGUCUCAUUUGAGAUUUUACAUCCAAUAAAACGGCGUUAUUGUGAUAAAUCUCUGGAUCUGUUUCAACAAGCUCGAAAAUGGGCUAGAACAAAUCUUUUCACAUAUGGAACUCGCAGAACUGUUUACAGCAAAUAUGGAAAUGGUUUAAUUAGAUUAAAAUAUGUUCCUUCAAAUAGCACUCAUUGUAUUGAUUCCCCCUAUCAAUAAAAAUUGGCAAAUUUUUGUGGGUCAAAGUACUGUAUAAAAUAGAAGAAAAA